rnacentral:rRNA from 1 species
CUACGGGAUGCAGCAGUGAGGAAUAUUGGUCAAUGGAGGCAACUCUGAACCAGCCAUGCCGCGUGAAGGAUGACGGCCCUAUGGGUUGUAAACUUCUUUUGAAUAGGAAGAAACUUAUCUACGUGUAGAUAACUGACGGUACUAUUAGAAUAAGGAUCGGCUAACUCCGUGCCAGCAGCCGCGGUAAUACGGAGGAUCCAAGCGUUAUCCGGAUUCAUUGGGUUUAAAGGGUCCGUAGGCGGGUCUUUAAGUCAGUGGUGAAAGCCGACAGCUCAACUGUCGAACUGCCAUUGAUACUGGAGACCUUGAGUACAAAUGAAGUAGGCGGAAUGAGUCAUGUAGCGGUGAAAUGCAUAGAUAUGACUCAGAACACCGAUUGCGAAGGCAGCUUACUAACAUGUAACUGACGCUGAGGGACGAAAGCGUGGGGAGCGAACAGGAUUAGAUACCCUCGUAGUC